rnacentral:tRNA from 1 species
GGAGAGAUGGCCGAGUGGUUUAAGGCGCUGGUUUCGAAAACCAGUAUGAGAGUAAUUUCAUCGUGGGUUCGAAUCCCACUCUCUCCG